UACGAAGGGGGCUAGCGUUGUUCGGAAUUACUGGGCGUAAAGCGUGCGCAGGCGGCUUCUCAAGUCAGGGGUGAAAGCCCAGAGCUCAACUCUGGAAUUGCCUUUGAGACUGAGAGGCUUGAGUAUGGGAGAGGUGAGUGGAAUUCCUGGUGUAGCGGUGAAAUGCGUAGAUAUCAGGAGGAACACCUGUGGCGAAAGCGGCUCACUGGACCAUAACUGACGCUGAUGCACGAAAGCUAGGGGAGCAAACAGG
rnacentral:rRNA from 1 species